CAUUGAAACACCAGUUUCCAUAUGAUCUCCAAGGUUAAGCAACAUCAAGAUUGGUCAUUACCUAGCUGGGUGACCGCUUGGUAAUACCAGGUGCUGUAAG